CGCUGGCGGCGUGCCUAAUACAUGCAAGUCGAGCGAGCGGAACUAACAGAUUUACUUCGGUAAUGACGUUAGGAAAGCGAGCGGCGGAUGGGUGAGUAACACGUGGGGAACCUGCCCCAUAGUCUGGGAUACCACUUGGAAACAGGUGCUAAUACCGGAUAAGAAAGCAGAUCGCAUGAUCAGCUUUUAAAAGGCGGCGUAAGCUGUCGCUAUGGGAUGGCCCCGCGGUGCAUUAGCUAGUUGGUAAGGUAAAGGCUUACCAAGGCGAUGAUGCAUAGCCGAGUUGAGAGACUGAUCGGCCACAUUGGGACUGAGACACGGCCCAAACUCCUACGGGAGGCAGCAGUAGGGAAUCUUCCACAAUGGACGCAAGUCUGAUGGAGCAACGCCGCGUGAGUGAAGAAGGUUUUCGGAUCGUAAAGCUCUGUUGUUGGUGAAGAAGGAUAGAGGUAGUAACUGGCCUUUAUUUGACGGUAAUCAACCAGAAAGUCACGGCUAACUACGUGCCAGCAGCCGCGGUAAUACGUAGGUGGCAAGCGUUGUCCGGAUUUAUUGGGCGUAAAGCGAGCGCAGGCGGAAGAAUAAGUCUGAUGUGAAAGCCCUCGGCUUAACCGAGGAAGUGCAUCGGAAACUGUUUUUCUUGAGUGCAGAAGAGGAGAGUGGAACUCCAUGUGUAGCGGUGAAAU
rnacentral:rRNA from 1 species